AGCGGCGGACGGGUGAGUAACACGUGGGUAACCUGCCCAAGAGACUGGGAUAACACCUGGAAACAGAUGCUAAUACCGGAUAACAACACUAGACGCAUGUCUAGAGUUUGAAAGAUGGUUCUGCUAUCACUCUUGGAUGGACCUGCGGUGCAUUAGCUAGUUGGUAAGGUAACGGCUUACCAAGGCAAUGAUGGAUAGCCGAGUUGAGAGACUGAUCGGCCACAUUGGGACUGAGACACGGCCCAAACUCCUACGGGAGGCAGCAGUAGGGAAUCUUCCACAAUGGACGAAAGUCUGAUGGAGCAACGCCGCGUGAGUGAAGAAGGGUUUCGGCUCGUAAAGCUCUGUUGGUAGUGAAGAAAGAUAGAGGUAGUAACUGGCCUUUAUUUGACGGUAAUUGCUUAGAAAGUCACGGCUAACUACGUGCCAGCAGCCGCGGUAAUACGUAGGUGGCAAGCGUUGUCCGGAUUUAUUGGGCGUAAAGCGAGUGCAGGCGGUUCAAUAAGUCUGAUGUGAAAGCCUUCGGCUCAACCGGAGAAUUGCAUCAGAAACUGUUGAACUUGAGUGCAGAAGAGGAGAGUGGAACUCCAUGUGUAGCGGUGGAAUGCGUAGAUAUAUGGAAGGACACCAGUGGCGAAGGCGGCUCUCUGGUCUGCAACUGACGCUGAGGCUCGAAAGCAUGGGUAGCGAACAGGAUUAGAUACCCUGGUAGUCCAUGCCGUAAACGAUGAGUGCUAAGUGU
rnacentral:rRNA from 1 species